AACCAAGAUGGUUCCCUCUCCAGGGGGCCUAAGAACUGUCUCUCUUCAGGAAAGUGGCAACUUGGAAUAAAACUGGGCGUGCCGCGGGUAUGCAAGGGAGGGCGUGAUGGUGUGCUUUCCUUUGCUUUCUGUUGGCUGCCUACAUGA